rnacentral:rRNA from 1 species
ACAAGCCUGAGAAACGGCUAGUAGGACUAAGGUCUGCAGCAGGCGCGAAACUUACACAAUGCUAGAUUUCUAAAAAAUAGCGAUGUAGUGAAGAAAAAUAACGAUGUGCUUGCUUUUAAACAAGCUUGCACAAUUGGAAUGAGACGACUUUAAAAGGGUCAGUCGAGUAACAAAUGGAGGGCAAGUCUGGUGCCAGCAGCCGCGGUAAUUCCAGCUCCAUUAGCAUACAUUAAAGUUGUUGCGGUUAAAAAGCUCGUAGUUGAAUUUUUAGCGGGUCUCUGGGCGGCGGGGCCGUCAAGGGGCGCAGUAGCUUCGGCUCUCGUCCUGGUCUCGUUCGCCGUUGAGGCGCGUUGUUUCGUCACUUAAUCGAGUGCGAAGCGGGUCGGCGAUUGGUUGGUUUCGGCCGCCAGCGACGACAUGUUUACCUUGAGAAAAUUAGAGUGCUCAGAGCAGGCAGUUGGGGUGUAAAAGCCCCUUUAUGCUUGAAUAAUGUUGCAUGGAAUAAUAGAAUACGGCCUCGGUUCUAUUCUGUUGGUCUUAUAGAACAACAAACAAGUCGGUUUGGGCGCAAACGGCGCUGCAUUGGCGUGGUCGUCGAGGCGUCUGUUGUCUGGGGCCUAAAAAUCUCAGUACCUCCGUCGCGGUAACCGUAAAAGCGCCCUUACAGUGCCAGCCCGAUCACCGGCUGAGGCAAUGGUUAAAAGAAAUAGUCGCGGCGGCAUCAGUACUGCAUCGUGAGAG